UUAGGCAAAAUGAGAUGGCAUAGUCAGCACUAUCAAUCUGAAGCAUCUGUGUAGUAUGAGGAUGGCUUUAUCAGAGGACUAAGAGAACAACGAGCCACCUGUCAUUUCACUUAACAGAGAACCACCCACCAGAAGAUGUUAGGCCAUCAAGAAACUCCACGCUUUUUCCAUGUUGGAUUUGUUUGUGAAGACUUUUGUGAGGCAUGCAUGAAUGGUCUUCAGACCUGAGAUGUCCAAAGGCAUCCAGAGGAUAUCUAUUCCCACUUCCAAUAACUCUUUCAGUCUAAGCAACAGGAACCCUAUUCCAAUAACUCCUCUGGAAGGAAGCAAUAGUGUCUUGAUGUACUGAUCUAAGAGAAGUCAAAGAAAGAGCCAGCUGAACAGACUCAACGUUCUCCCUUCCUCUUACCACCAUGCUACUUGUUCUGGUUUCUUACUUAAAAUCAUUCAGCCAUCCAUCAAAGACCAGACUGGGUUCCACUAAGAGCAACACCAGGGAUGAGCAAACCAGAAGGAUGACACUGCAUGUAGUGGUUGACUGUGUCAACUUGAGAAGUUCAGAAGCUUAACUAAAUUGGCUCAGUAAUUCUACACCCUGGAGAAUACAGGACCCACCCUAGGGUAGCUCGUUGCCUGGAUGGUAUAAAAGGGAAAUGAAGAAGGACAGAGGGGCUUCCAUUCUUCAGAGGAGCUCUAGUCUUCGCCUUUAGCUUGGACAUCGUUUCCUGGCUUCUAGUGCACACUCUUCGGCUUCCACCUUGGAUCCUUCAGCCUUCUAGCAUAGACUCACUGCCUUCUGUCCCAGACCCAUCGGUCUCCUAACACGGACUUGCAUGGAAACUGCAGUGAGCUCCAGACCUUGGACUGGAUCCUUCAGUCUCAAGUGUGCAGACACCUUCUAUGUGCUUCCUCAUCUGACUCUGUGGCUGACCAUUGUAAGCCAAUUGUGUAAUUUCUAUACUUUUGUAUACCUUGUGUUUUAUCUGUUUCUCUAGUAAACCCUGACUGAUACUGGUUUGCACCUCAACCCAGGGUCACUUUUGUCUCUUUUUAAGUUUUACACUGGUGAUCUAUGACACUGGCCAUCUAAAUCCUACCCCAAAAGAAGUGAGGUUGAAAUAUGGAGAUUUUCUUAGGGUUUCUUUACCAUUUUUGUUUGUUUAUUUGACAUAAGGGAACAUACUUUAUUAAAAUAAGAUGUCUCUCUCAAGCCUGAAGUCAAGGGUAAGUGUAAA